GGGCGUGUGGCUCAGUUGGUAGAGCGCCCGCUUAGCAUAAUUUCUUCUAUCGUUGAAAAUAUUAAGCAUGCGGAAGGUCCCCGGUUCGAUUCCGGGCUCGUCCA